rnacentral:snoRNA from 1 species
UGAUGUCCAAAACCUCCUGAUGCUGAACUCCUUGAUGUGCUUUUUUCCUCCUGA